rnacentral:rRNA from 1 species
UACGUAGGGGGCAAGCGUUGUCCGGAUUUAUUGGGCGUAAAGAGCGUGUAGGCGGCCUGACAGGUCUGCUGUGAAAACUCGAGGCUCAACCUCGAGAUGUCGGCGGAAACCGUCUGGCUAGAGUCCGGAAGAGGAGAGUGGAAUUCCUGGUGUAGCGGUGAAAUGCGCAGACAUCAGGAAGAACACCUAUGGCGAAGGCAGCUCUCUGGGACGGUACUGACGCUGAGACGCGAAAGCGUGGGGAGCGAACAGG